CCGAGGGAGGACCCGAAGGGGGGCAAGGCAGAAGGGACCCCCGAAGCCCUGUCGCCAUCAGAGAUCAAGCAUCUGGCAUCAGGGAUCUUCAGACCCAGCAGAAGGAUCAGCCACAGGAGAGGUGUCCUCUCUGGGGAAGCCAACGAGCGAGCCACCUGCCUCACAUCAGAAGCAGGGACCCCCUCAUGCGCUGCUGGCAACCAUAUCAGGCCCCUAGUCCCUGGUCCUCUCUGUUGCCCUCCUCUGGCCCUUUCCCCCUCUCUGUUGGCAUCUCCACCCUGGAUCCUGGCUCUUAGAGCUCCAGCUACCACUCAAACCCUCCUGGGCUUGGCCACCCUGACCCCCAUCCUGGGCUAUCUGCCAUAUCUCUGGGAGGGAGAUCGUUUGUUUGGGCUAUGCCCCCUGGUGGCAUAACAGUGUCUGCCUGGACCCCUGACCCCCAGCCCUCAACUCCCCAGGCCUCCUUUGUGUGAAGAGCGGCUCCACUGCUCGGCAGUGUGGUUGGGGGCCAAAGGGAAAGCCGGUCCGGCUGGGCCCCGGCUCCCACCACCUGCCUCCUGGUUGGGCAGCUCCCCUAGCCUUUGGGCUUCUCCUUGCUCCCCCCCGGCCCCUCCUCCUGGGCCGCCCCAAUGAAGGAGCCAGAUGCCAUCAAGCUAUUUGUGGGGCAGAUCCCGAGGCAUCUGGAGGAAAAGGACCUGAAGCCCAUCUUCGAGCAGUUUGGUCGGAUCUUCGAGCUGACUGUCAUCAAGGACAAGUACACCGGGCUGCACAAGGGAUGUGCCUUCCUGACAUACUGUGCCCGCGAUUCAGCCCUGAAGGCCCAGAGUGCCCUGCACGAACAGAAGACGCUUCCAGGGAUGAACAGGCCGAUCCAAGUCAAGCCAGCAGACAGCGAGAGUCGAGGAGAAGACCGGAAGCUCUUUGUGGGGAUGCUAGGGAAGCAGCAGACAGAUGAGGACGUCCGGAAGAUGUUCGAACCAUUUGGGACCAUAGACGAGUGCACUGUGCUCCGGGGGCCAGAUGGUACCAGCAAAGGCUGUGCCUUUGUGAAGUUCCAGACUCAUGCUGAGGCCCAGGCAGCCAUCAACACCCUUCACAGCAGCCGGACCCUGCCGGGUGCCUCAUCCAGUCUGGUGGUGAAGUUUGCUGACACAGAGAAGGAGCGAGGUCUCCGCCGGAUGCAGCAGGUGGCCACCCAGCUGGGCAUGUUUAGCCCCAUUGCCCUCCAGUUUGGAGCCUACAGCGCCUACACCCAGGCCCUGAUGCAGCAGCAAGCGGCCCUGGUAGCAGCUCACAGUGCCUACCUCAGUCCUAUGGCCACCAUGGCUGCUGUGCAAAUGCAGCACAUGGCUGCCAUCAAUGCCAAUGGCCUCAUCGCCACCCCCAUCACCCCAUCCUCAGGAACCAGCACGCCCCCUGCCAUUGCUGCCACGCCCGUCUCUGCCAUUCCUGCUGCCCUGGGUGUCAACGGCUACAGCCCAGUGCCCACCCAGCCUACCGGGCAGCCUGCCCCCGAUGCUCUCUAUCCCAACGGGGUUCACCCUUAUCCAGCCCAGAGCCCUGCGGCCCCUGUGGACCCCCUCCAGCAGGCCUACGCAGGGAUGCAGCACUACACAGCAGCCUACCCUGCAGCCUACAGCCUGGUUGCCCCUGCCUUCCCGCAGCCACCAACCCUGGUUGCCCAGCAGCCCCCGCCCCCACCACAACAGCAGCAGCAGCAGCAACAGCAGCAGCAGCAACAGCAGCAGCAGCAACAGCAGCGAGAAGGCCCUGAUGGCUGCAACAUCUUCAUCUACCAUCUGCCCCAGGAGUUCACGGACUCAGAGAUCCUCCAGAUGUUUGUCCCCUUUGGCCAUGUCAUCUCAGCCAAAGUCUUUGUUGACCGGGCCACCAAUCAGAGCAAAUGUUUUGGCUUUGUGAGUUUCGACAAUCCGGCCAGUGCCCAGGCUGCCAUCCAGGCCAUGAACGGUUUCCAGAUUGGCAUGAAGCGCCUCAAAGUCCAGCUAAAGCGGCCUAAGGAUGCAAACCGGCCCUACUAGGGCUUCAGGUGGGUGCUAUUCUUGCCCUGUGCCCUCCUCUCCAGGCUCUACACAAUGCUGACAGGGCCCUCAAGCCGGGGCCCCCACCCUUCUACCACCCUCAGGGGUACUUACCCUCACCCCCAGUGCUGGGCAUGAGAACUAGGAUCUGGGGAGUGCCUUCAACUGUUGUUUAAUCAAUCAUGUCUUCCUUACACACAUGCUCAUGUGCACAUAUACACACAAAGCGAUCCCAGAAAGAGCCAAGUCUGUAUCUGUGUCUGCUCCCAGAUUUUCCACAAUAUCUGGUCUUCUUUGUCUGGUCAGUGUCUGUGUGUCUGUCUUUCUUUCUGGUUUUCCUUUGGGUUGGAUGGCAUUAAAAAGAGUAAAUUUGGGAGCCAGCAGGCUGGUUUAGAGUACCAGAGGGUCCUAGAGUUAUGUGGCUUUGGAAUCUGUUCUCCCGAGAAGUGGAGACACACUAGUUCCUGGUUGCCCUGGACUUUGGGUGCUUUUCUUACUUAGCAAUGGAACCAGGGCAGGAGAGCACAGCACAGAUGGGUGUGGGUGUUGGCUUAUCUUAGUGGAGGAAGUGGAAUACCACAUUGCCCAUAAAUUUUGCUCAGCAGGGCCCCUCAUCCCCAGUACAGGCCACCAUCCUAACCUCAGGGCCUCAGAUCUGUGAGCCUGGCUACUUUUGAGUUGCUUAAUCUCCUUUGGACCAAACCUUGAAAAAUCACAACCCAAGAACAAUACCCACAUUUCUGUUUCUCCCCUUUCCCCCCAAUCCUGGCUGCUUAACUCCCCCCACCCUGGGGGCCCCCAGCCCAGGGCCCGUGUCCAUUGUCGGCUGAAGCCCCCAUCCCCGGACCCCUGCUCCGGGCCCCUGUCUGGAGAUACCAGAGGAAGGGGCACUUCACACCCUCUUCCCAUGACUGGCCCCUGGCCUCUCUGCACAUCGGCCCUGAGCCUUGAUUGGGCUCUAGGGCAAAAGCUGCUUCAUGGUCCUGGGGGCCAGGACCUGGCUCACCUCCACCACCUUGCCUCUCUGAAGGGCCAUGGCUUUGCUUCCCUGGCUCCAAGAGCGUGUUUCCUCCCAGGUGCCCUUUUGGCCUUUGUGAGGGAGCAAGGAAUGGGCUUGAAGGUUCUGGGGGAUCUGCCUUCUGCUAGGGCUCCUGAGAUGGGCCUCCAUGCCCACUGUUCGCACUUGUCUCCCCAGUGGGCCUGUCACAGUUGUACAGACCCAGGAGGACAGUGGGGCCUCCUCUCCCCCAGCGCCCUUACCCCAGCCUCUUCCCCGCAGUUGGGGCUUCUCAGAAGCUGGAUUUCACAUUCCCUCCACCCUCAGCUAGAGGUAGGAUAUCCCUGGACCCUGGGGCUCCCAGCCCUAAAACUCACUGCCUCCCCCAAAGCCCCCCUCCACGGAGGGUGUGGGGGCCCCUGAGGGCUGCCUCUCUGCCAGUCACAGAGACCCUCCUUUUAUGAGGAAAAGACCUUCCCCUGAACCCCUAAAAAUGUUUACAGUCUCUGCUGGCUCCUCUGUGUAAAUACCAUGACUACCAGGGUGUGACCCAGCCCACCCAGCCAGACGCUGCCAUCUCUCUUUCUGGGAGUUUAGACAAUGUUGCCCUUGGAUUUUUUUCUUUUUUGAUUUCUCCCUUUGCUUUGGGGGUAAUUGGGUAUUUGGGAGGAGGGGUGUAGGGAGGGCUAAAUGGGUUUAUUACCUGAUCAUUUUCUUUAGGAAGAGGCUAGGGAAAAGAAAAUGGGGUGGGGGUGGGAAUGAUAAAGGGGAGAUGGGGAGUCAGUUUCUGACGGUUCUCUACACUUCACUUAUUUAUUUAUUGCAUUUUAAAAGAGUUGGUCUUUUCUGUCUAAAUAAAGAAAAAAGUU